AGCCAUACCUAGGUGGAUUAGCUUGCGGUCUGGACAAAGACAUUGAUGAGGAGAAUGAUGAUAACGAUGAUAUUAAUAGGAGAAAAGAAGCGCCCGCCG